rnacentral:sRNA from 1 species
CUAAAUAAACAAAUAACAAAAGCUGUAUAAUGUUAAGUAGCAACCUGCGAGUCGAACACAAUCUCUCUACGUAAACUCGUUAAAUCAAUUCUUAAAAGACGCAUGUUUAGCAAUUUUUUGUAUAGAUCACCGAAACAUAAAGCGUGUUUACAUGUCCUGUUAAUGUGAUCAAUGAACACAGUCUGUGGAGACUGGACUGUUCAGUGAAAGAGUGCUUUCUUCAGCUUCUUGGUACACUGCCUGACUGUACAUUCAUUGAAAUGACGAGGAAACUAUUUCUAUUUGUUUGUUUUGUGAUACUUUCUACAACUGUGACGGUGACUUCCGGUACACCUCUACAAGUUAGAGCCUGCGAGAACGGUGUCGUCUGCUUGAAUGAUCCUUGCACCACGUCUCUGUGUCCAUAUUUUUGUCUUCCGUAAGUAGUCCAUAGUGUAGCUAAGCAAAUACGUAAUCCAUAUCGUAGAUAGGCAUGUACGUAGCCUAUAGAGUUGAUAAGCACAUGCCAUAGAGUAGAUAAGCUCAUACGUAGUCCAUAGAGUAGAUAAGCACAUACAUAGUCCAUAGAGUAGAUAAGCACAUACAUAGUCUAUAGAGUAGAUAAGCACAUACAUAGUCUAUAGAGU